rnacentral:rRNA from 1 species
GUGAACGCUGGCGGUAGGCCUAACACAUGCAAGUCGAACGGCAGCACCGUAAGAGCUUGCUCUUACGGGUGGCGAGUGGCGGACGGGUGAGGAAUACAUCGGAAUCUACUUUUUCGUGGGGGAUAACGUAGGGAAACUUACGCUAAUACCGCAUACGACCUACGGGUGAAAGCAGGGGAUCUUCGGACCUUGCGCGAUUGAAUGAGCCGAUGUCGGAUUAGCUAGUUGGCGGGGUAAAGGCCCACCAAGGCGACGAUCCGUAGCUGGUCUGAGAUGAUGAUCAGCCACACUGGAACUGAGACACGGUCCAGACUCCUACGGGAGGCAGCAGUGGGGAAUAUUGGACAAUGGGCGCAAGCCUGAUCCAGCCAUACCGCGUGGGUGAAGAAGGCCUUCGGGUUGUAAAGCCCUUUUGUUGGGAAAGAAAAGCAGCAGGUUAAUACCCCGCUGUUCUGACGGUACCCAAAGAAUAAGCACCGGCUAACUUCGUG